rnacentral:lncRNA from 1 species
UCUGGUUUAGGAACUGAUGUAGGAUCAGGACCCCCCCCCCCAUUCACAACGUGUCUCAGAGUAGGACUGCUGAUGUAAGGUCAGGACCCCUAUUCACAAUGUGUCUCAGAGUAGGACUGCUGAUCAGGACCCCCAUUCACAAUGUGUCUCAGAGUAGGACUGCUGAUCAGGACCCCCAUUCACAACGUGUCUCAGAGUAGGACUGCUGAUCAGGACCCCCAUUCACAAUGUGUACUGUUACUGAGAGUGUGAAUAUGGGACCUGAUCCUAGAUCCAGUUCUGUUCUGUUACUCUGAGACUGUUUGUGAAUAUGGGACCUGAUCCUAGAUCCAGUUCUGUUACUCUGAGACUGUUUGUGAAUAUGGGGCCUGAUCCUAGAUCCAGUUCUGUUACUCUGAGACUGUUUGUGAAUAUGGGACCUGAUCCUAGAUCCAGUUCUGUUCUGUUACUCUGAGACUGUUUGUGAAUAUGG